rnacentral:rRNA from 1 species
CCUACGGGUGGCAGCAGUCGAGAAUUUUUCACAAUGGGGGAAACCCUGAUGGAGCGACGCCGCGUGGAGGAUGAAGGUCUUCGGAUUGUAAACUCCUGUCAUGCGGGAACAAGAAAGUGAUAGUACCGCAAGAGGAAGAGACGGCUAACUCUGUGCCAGCAGCCGCGGUAAUACAGAGGUCUCAAGCGUUGUUCGGAUUCAUUGGGCGUAAAGGGUGCGUAGGUGGCGAUGUAAGUCUGGUGUGAAAUUUCGGAGCUCAACUCCGAAACUGCAUU